GAGGGUAUAGCUCAGUGGUACAGCGCAUGCUUAGCAUGCACGAGGUCCUGGGUUCAAUCCCCAGUACCUCCU
rnacentral:tRNA from 1 species